UCAAUUGCAGUACUAAAUUUUAUCAUGUAAAUCUAUACUUCUAUAUCUAAACGACGUACAUUAAUCGACAAUCAUCAACCGGAGAAUGGACAAUUAUCAAUAUAUCCUCAUUAAUCGUAGACUUCAGCUUCGAUUUUGGUAUUUAUAAAACAACCAGUGGCAGUGACACCAUUGAUGCCCUGGCCAAUCUUACCCUUAAAAAGCUAUUAGUUUUUGUUUCAGUCGACUUGUAUUUUCAUUUGAUUUGGUUUACAAAUUGGGUUCCUUGUAAUGGUCUAUUGUUACUCUUGUUUGAGAAUCAGUUUCUAAAGGAGGUCAUCCAUCCAAUCCGAGUUGUGUCACGGGAAUAUUGAUCUAAUAAUGAACAAGCACAACUACAAAACUAUGUUAGUCUGUUAUGUCAAAGAGAAAGAGUCAUUUCACAUUGGACCUGCAUCGAGUUGGUCAACUUGAUUAGUUCUCGACUUUUCAAAUUAAUUUUUGAUGCCAGGCAAUAGACCAUGCAGGUCAUGAUAAAGCAAUUGUUGUUAGAGUUGGAAGCUGUUGACAAAGCUACCGGGCAACUUGCUAGACUUCUUUGGAAGGCAGAGUCAUCCGGUUAAUUGUUUGAACCUUCUUAAGAUUGGAAUCACGAAACCUACUGGUUUUGCUUUCAAAGGUCUGACAGGUAAUGAGGAACAGUUUAUCCACAGCCAUCCUCCUGCUCUAACUGUCACUGCACGGAGGCAAGAGCUCGAAGUCGUUCCUGAUGCACCUAAAGACGUACCAAAGGUUGUUAAUUGUUUUAAUAAUUUAUUUCUUAAUUGUUUGAACUGAAUUUGUUGUUUGGCAGAUUUCACGAGCCACAUGAUGUGGAAUCAUGUUGUAAAUGUUGACGCGUUGCAUUGUAAUACUUCGUUCGACUAAUAGAAAACAAGUGGCGCGUUGUAAAUUGUUGUCCCCGCCGCAUCGCGCGGGCACCUU